UUGACAUACUAAGAACUUUCCAGAGAUGGAUUGGUGCCUUCGGGAACUUAGAUACAGGUGCUGCAUGGCUGUCGUCAGCUCGUGUCGUGAGAUGUUGGGUUAACGUCCGCAACGAGCGCAACCCUUUUCCUUAUUUGCCAGCGGGUCAUGCCGGGAACUUUAAGGAUACUGCCAGUGACAAACUGGAGGAAGGCGGGGACGACGUCAAGUCAUCAUGGCCCUUACGGCCAGGGCUACACACGUGCUACAAUGGUCGGUACAAAGGGUUGCUACCUCGCGAGAGGAUGCUAAUCUCAAAAAGCCGAUCGUAGUCCGGAUCGCAGUCUGCAACUCGACUGCGUGAAGUCGGAAUCGCUAGUAAUCGCGGAUCAGAAUGCCGCGGUGAAUACGUUCCCGGGCCUUGUACACACCGCCCGUUACACCAUGGGAGUUUGUUGCACCAGAAGUAGGUAGUCUAACCGCAAGGAGGACGCUUACCACGGUGUGGCCGAUGACUGGGGGUGAAGUCGUAACAAGGUAAGCGUAGAUGA
rnacentral:rRNA from 1 species